GAUGAACGCUGGCGGCGUGCCUAAUACAUGCAAGUCGAGCGAACAGACGAGGAGCUUGCUCCUCUGACGUUAGCGGCGGACGGGUGAGUAACACGUGGAUAACCUACCUAUAAGACUGGGAUAACUUCGGGAAACCGGAGCUAAUACCGGAUAAUAUAUUUAACCGCAUGUUUCAAUAGUGAAAGACGGUUUUGCUGUCACUUAUAGAUGGAUCCGCGCCGCAUUAGCUAGUUGGUAAGGUAACGGCUUACCAAGGCAACGAUGCGUAGCCGACCUGAGAGGGUGAUCGGCCACACUGGAACUGAGACACGGUCCAGACUCCUACGGGAGGCAGCAGUAGGGAAUCUUCCGCAAUGGGCGAAAGCCUGACGGAGCAACGCCGCGUGAGUGAUGAAGGUCUUCGGAUCGUAAAACUCUGUUAUUAGGGAAGAACAAAUGUGUAAGUAACUAUGCACGUCUUGACGGUACCUAAUCAGAAAGCCACGGCUAACUACGUG
rnacentral:rRNA from 1 species